CAGGGAAUAUUGCACAAUGAGCGAAAGCUAGAUGCAGCGACGCUGCGUGGAUGAAGAAGGCCUUCGGGUUGUAAAAUUCUUUUCAGGGGGAAGAGCGAGGACGGUACCCUUGGAAUAAGCGUCGGCUAACUACGUGCCAGCAGCCGCGGUAAGACGUAGGACGCGAGCGUUAUCCGGAUUUACUGGGCGUAAAGCGUCUGUAGGCGGACUGACAAGUUGGGCGUGAAAGCUCCGGGCUUAACUCGGAGAGGUCGUUCAAUACUGUCGGACUAGAGGGGGACAGAGGGGCGUGGAAUUUCCAGUGUAGCGGUAAAAUGCGCAGAUAUUGGAAGGAACACCCGUGGCGAAGGCGGCGCCCUGGGUCCCACCUGACGCUGAGAGACGAAAGCUAGGGGAGCGAACAG
rnacentral:rRNA from 1 species